rnacentral:rRNA from 1 species
CAGCCGCGGUAAUACGAAGGUGGCGAGCGUUGUUCGGAAUCACUGGGCUUAAAGGGCACGCAGGCGGACUGUAAAGCGUCUUGUGAAAGCCCCCGGCUUAACCGGGGAAUUGCUAGGCGAACUGGCAGUCUUGAGGCAGGUAAGGGCGAGUGGAACUCUUGGUGGAGCGGUGGAAUGCGUAGAUAUCAAGAGGAACGCCGGAGGCGAAAGCGACUCGCUGGGCCUGACCUGACGCUGAGGUGCGAAAGCCAGGGUAGCGAACGGGAUUAGAUACCCCGGUAGUCCUGGCCAUAAACGAUGUCCACUAGAUCGGUGAACUUCUGACAGUGCGCCGGUCGAAACAAAAGCGUUAAGUGGACCGCCUGGGGAGUACGGUCGCAAGGCUAAAACUCAAAGGAAUUGACGGGGGCUCACACAAGCGGUGGAGCAUGUUGCUUAAUUCGAUGCAACGCGAAGAACCUUAUCCUGGACUUGACAUGUUUGGAUGCCUCCCUGGAAACAGGGUUGGUUGCCCUUCGGGGUGAAACAUUCACAGGUGCUGCAUGGCUGUCGUCAGCUCGUGUCGUGAGAUGUUGGGUUAAGUCCCGUAACGAGCGAAACCCUUGUCGUUAGUUGCCAGCGCGUAAUGGCGGGGACUCUAGCGAGACUGCCGGUGUUAAACCGGAGGAAGGUGGGGAUGACGUCAAGUCCUCAUGGCCUUUAUGUCCGGGGCUGCAAACGUGCUACGAUGGCGUGUACAAACCGACGCAAGACCGCGAGGUGGAGCAAAUCGGAAAAAGCACGCCCCAGUUCGGAUUGGAGUCUGCAACU